AACGAACGCUGGCGGCGCGUUUUAAGCAUGCAAGUCGAACGGGAUUGAAGAAGCUUGCACCUCCAUGAGAGUGGCGAACGGGUGAGUAACACGUAGAUGAUCUGCCUUGAGGUUGGGGAUAGCCCAUGGAAACAUGGGGUAAUACCGAAUAAGCUGCUUGAUGUAAAGGUCAAGUAGGAAAGGGGCUUAGGCCUCGCCUUGAAGAUGAGUCUGCGUCUUAUUAGUUAGUUGGUGGGGUAACGGCCUACCAAGACGACGAUAAGUAGCCGGCCUGAGAGGGUGACCGGCCACACUGGAACUGAGACACGGUCCAGACUCCUACGGGAGGCAGCAGCUAAGAAUCUUCCGCAAUGGGCGCAAGCCUGACGGAGCGACGCCGCGUGUGUGAUGAAGGCCGUGAGGUUGUAAAGCACUUUUUUGUUACUGAAGAUAAGGGCAGUAGGGAAUGACUGCUUGAUGACGUUAGGUAACGAA
rnacentral:rRNA from 1 species